GACGAACGCUGGCGGCGCGCUUAACACAUGCCAGUCGAACGGAAAGGCCUGCUUUCCCUUGUGGAUUGCGGGUACUCGAGUGGCGAACGGGUGAGUAACACGUGAGUUAUCUGCCCCCAACUUGGGUAUAAGCCUGGGGAAAUGGGUCUAAUUCCCGAUAGGACUGCAGGGGGGUGGCUGGUGUGGAAAACGAUUUUCUAGUGGUUGGGGAUGAGCGCGCGGGCUAUCAGCUUGGUGGUGGGGUAAUGGUCUACCAAGGCGGCGACGGGUAGCCGGCCUGGGAGGGUGGACGGCCACAUUGGGACUGAGAUACGGCCCAGACUCCUACGGGAGGCAGCAGUGGGGAAUAUUGCACAAUGGGCGGAAGCCUGAUGCAGCGACGCCGCGUGGGGGAUGACGGCCUUCGGGUUGUAAACUCCUUUCGACCGCGAGGAAGCCACCUGGUUGGAAGGGUGGUGACGGUAGUGGUAGAAGAAGCACCGGCUAACUACGUG
rnacentral:rRNA from 1 species